GACGAACGCUGGCGGCGUGCCUAAUACAUGCAAGUCGAGCGGACGAAUCGAAAGCUUGCUUUUGAUUCGUUAGCGGCGGACGGGUGAGUAACACGUGGGCAACCUGCCCUGUAGACGGGGAUAACACCGAGAAAUCGGUGCUAAUACCGGAUAAUACGAAAUGUCGCAUGACGUUUCGUUGAAAGACGGCGCAAGCUGUCGCUACAGGAUGGGCCCGCGGCGCAUUAGCUAGUUGGUGAGGUAACGGCUCACCAAGGCGACGAUGCGUAGCCGACCUGAGAGGGUGAUCGGCCACACUGGGACUGAGACACGGCCCAGACUCCUACGGGAGGCAGCAGUAGGGAAUCUUCCGCAAUGGACGAAAGUCUGACGGAGCAACGCCGCGUGAGCGAAGAAGGCCUUCGGGUCGUAAAGCUCUGUUGUUAGGGAAGAACAAGUAACGCAGUAACUGGCGUUACCGUGACGGUACCUAACGAGAAAGCCACGGCUAACUACGUG
rnacentral:rRNA from 1 species